GGUUCGAUGGCGUAGUUGGUUAUCGCAUCUGUCUAACAUGUUUCCACAUUUUCAUUGAAAUGUCCCACAGAAGGUCCCCGGUUCGAGCCCGGGUCGAAUCA